AAGUCUGAAUAGCUUAGUUGGUGAGAGCGUACGCUGAUCACACCAAGGUUGCAGGUUCGAGCCCGGCUUUGCUGG